rnacentral:rRNA from 1 species
UACAGAGGGUGCGAGCGUUAAUCGGAAUUACUGGGCGUAAAGCGCGCGUAGGCGGCUUUUCAAGUCGAUUGUGAAAUCCCCCGGGCUUAACCUGGGAACUGCAGUCGAGACUGUCUAGCUAGAGUAUGGGAGAGGGAAGUGGAAUUUCAGGUGUAGCGGUGAAAUGACGUAGAUAUCUGAAGGAACAUCAGUGGCGAAAGCGACUUCCUGGACCAAUACUGACGCUCAUGUGCG